CCAGUCAGUGGCUGUAUUGAGUUUAAGGUUGGAUCCGAUUACUAGUGUCUUCUAAAAAUGAUGCACUCACUGACGCUCUUGCCGUGGGCAAGGUGGCCUGGCCUGUUCCCGUAGCCACCAGACCUCUGUGUGCCUCGAUCAGGCCCUGGGCACAGACCUGACAGCCAAGAGCCUGUCUCCACUGACUCGCAAAGAUGCCUGGUUCCAGCUAGCGCCUGUGUAACAGCCAUCCCCGACUCUGGCGUGAAGCACCAGCCACUCUGUUCUGCCUGCAGCCUGCGAUUAUGGGAUUUAGAGCCCCUGCUGCGGUGACGGAAAUGACAGGCAAACUUCAGUAGCUGGGCAGGUCACCUGGAGCAGGAGUUGGUGACCUUUGAGCUGCCUGUUCUCCUAAAUAACACCCUCUCCAUCACCUGCUCCCGUGUCACCUGCAUAGCCUCAACUGCUGUUUCCUACUUGGCCCUGUACGGUAUCCUAGGCCCUGGUCUCCUGUCUCUUGGGCUCGUGUGUCUGGGCCAUGGGCAGGGUGACUGAGGGCUGGGCUGGCCCAGAGCUCCCACAGCCCCCUGGGCGCUGGGCCUCCUAAGGCCUGGCUGCUGUUUUCCAGGGGGAGUGUCUGGGAGCCACUGUUGGGAGAGCCAGGUGGAUGCCACGGGGCCCCGUCUGGCCCAACUUGGGGGUCCCACAGCGACACGGAGCCUAAACUCCCUUGGUGGGACCCUCUCCAGGAUCUCCCAGGUCUCACCUGUUGGCAGGUGGUUGUUAAAGCAUUUGUGACCAUUCUUUAAAUCCCUAUGUCCAUCCCAGACAGGUGGGUGACCCUGCCUCCCUCCUGAGUUUGCUGUCUUGGUGAUAGAGUCCCCUUCAGGCCGAGACCUUGACCCUGCUCCUCCCUCCGAUCCAGCAUUGUCCAAUCCAUGCUCUCUUUCAUUUAAAGAAGUUUAUUGUUUGGAAAUAAUUCAAAUAAAUGAACUCACAUACCCUGGA